rnacentral:rRNA from 1 species
CCUACGGGUGGCAGCAGUGAGGAAUAUUGGUCAAUGGACGCAAGCCUGAACCAGCCAUGCCGCGUGCAGGAAGACGGCUCUAUGAGUUGUAAACUGCUUUUGUACGAGGGUAAACGCAGAUACGCGUAUCUGUCUGAAAGUAUCGUACGAAUAAGGAUCGGCUAACUCCGUGCCAGCAGCCGCGGUAAUACGGAGGAUUCAAGCGUUAUCCGGAUUUAUUGGGUUUAAAGGGUGCGUAGGCGGUCGGAUAAGUUAGAGGUGAAAUCCCGCGGCCCAACUUCGGAAUUGCCUCUGAUACUGUUCGGCUAGAGAGUAGUUGAGGUAGGCGGAAUGUAUGGUGUAGCGGUGAAAUGCUUAGAGAUCAUACAGAACACCGAUUGCGAAGGCAGCUUACCAGGCUACUUCUGACGUUGAGGCACGAAAGCGUGGGGAGCAAACAGGAUUAGAUACCCCAGUAGUC